AGCGAACGCUGGCGGCAGGCCUAACACAUGCAAGUCGAACGAAGUCUUCGGACUUAGUGGCGGACGGGUGAGUAACACGUGGGAACGUACCUUUUGGUUCGGAACAACUCAGGGAAACUUGAGCUAAUACCGGAUGAGUCCUUAGGGGGAAAGAUUUAUCGCCGAAAGAGCGGCCCGCGUUAGAUUAGCUAGUUGGUGAGGUAAAGGCUCACCAAGGCUACGAUCUAUAGCUGGUCUGAGAGGAUGAUCAGCCACACUGGGACUGAGACACGGCCCAGACUCCUACGGGAGGCAGCAGUGGGGAAUCUUGCGCAAUGGGCGAAAGCCUGACGCAGCCAUGCCGCGUGAAUGAUGAAGGUCUUAGGAUUGUAAAAUUCUUUUACCAGGGACGAUAAUGACGGUACCUGGAGAAAAAGCCCCGGCUAACUUCGUGCCAGCAGCCGCCGUAA
rnacentral:rRNA from 1 species